UUGAAGGUUCCUGAAGCCUCCUCAGCCAUGAUAAACUGAAAAAAAAUCAAGCAACAAACUGGGAAAAUAUUUCCAGCUUUAUGUUUUAUCAGCAGCAGCAUCACUAAUGUAUACGAAGCAAACUGCAUGAGAAAAACUUUAGAAAAUGAGUUAUAAACUAAAUUCAAAUCAUACUUAUGAAAAAGUUUAUCAUUCAAAAGAAAAAAGAUUCCACCCUUAAUGGAAGCAACAUAAAGAUCCCAGAAUCAGAAAUGUUCUCUACAAGGAGACAAGUGUAAUAUACGCCCCAAGUAAAUUGGCUGCCACCAGACUUAUGGAGUAUGUGGAGCUGACAACACAGGGAUGGUGAUAUCUAAAGAAGCAGAAUUCAGGUAAAAAAAAAAAAAAAAAAAAAAUGACAAACUCAUUCCU